rnacentral:tRNA from 13 species
UCCCGAUGGCCGAGCGGUCUAAGGCGCCAGAUUUAAGCUCUGGUUCUCGAAAGAGAGCGUGGGUUUGAACCCCGCAGCUGGUG